rnacentral:rRNA from 1 species
AUACGAAGGGGGCUAGCGUUGUUCGGAAUAACUGGGCGUAAAGCGCACGUAGGCGGAAUGUUAAGUUAGAGGUGAAAUCCCAGGGCUCAACCCUGGAACUGCCUUUAAUACUGGCAAUCUAGAGAUCGAGAGAGGUGAGUGGAAUUCCGAGUGUAGAGGUGAAAUUCGUAGAUAUUCGGAGGAACACCAGUGGCGAAGGCGGCUCACUGGCUCGAUACUGACGCUGAGGUGCGAAAGCGUGGGGAGCAAACAGGAUUAGAAACCCUUGUAGUCC